rnacentral:rRNA from 1 species
UACGGGGGGGGCAAGCGUUGUUCGGAAUUACUGGGCGUAAAGGGCUCGUAGGCGGCCAACUAAGUCAUACGUGAAAUCCCUCGGCUUAACCGGGGAACUGCGUCUGAUACUGGAUGGCUUGAGUUCGGGAGAGGGAUGCGGAAUUCCCGGUGUAGCGGUGAAAUGCGCAGAUAUCGGGAAGAACACCGAUGGCGAAAGCGCUCUGCUGGGCCGAGACUGACGCUGAGAGACGAAAGCUAGGGGAGCGAAUGGG